rnacentral:tRNA from 1 species
GCCCCCGUAGCUCAGGGGAUAGAGCAAAGGAUUCCUAAUCCUUGUGCCGCAUGUUCGAAUCAUGCCGGGGGCACCA